rnacentral:rRNA from 1 species
UACGGAGGGUGCGAGCGUUAUCCGGAGUUACUGGGCGUAAAGAGUGUGUAGGCGGUUGGGUAAGUUCGGUGUGAAAUCUCCCGGCUUAACUGGGAGGGUGCGCCGAAGACUGCCUGGCUUGAGUGCGGGAGAGGAAAGCGGAAUUCCUGGUGUAGCGGUGAAAUGCGUAGAGAUCAGGAGGAACACCUGCGGUGUAGACGGCUUUCUGGACCGUGACUGACGAUGAGACACGAAAGUGUGGGUAGCAAACAGG